rnacentral:rRNA from 1 species
CACAUGACUCUCGGCAAUGGAUAUCUCGGCUCUCGCAUCGAUGAAGAACGUAGCAAAAUGCGAUACCUGGUGUGAAUUGCAGAAUCCCGCGAACCAUCGAGUUUUUGAACGCAAGUUGCGUCCGAGGCCUUCUGGCUGAGGGCACGUCUGCCUGAGCGUCACGC